GGGGAAUCUUCCGCAAUGGACGAAAGUCUGACGGAGCAACGCCGCGUGAGUGAUGACGGCCUUCGGGUUGUAAAGCUCUGUGAUCGGGGACGAAUGGCUGGUAUGCUAAUACCAUAUCAGAGUGACGGUACCCGAAUAGCAAGCCACGGCUAACUACGUGCCAGCAGCCGCGGUAAUACGUAGGUGGCAAGCGUUGUCCGGAAUUAUUGGGCGUAAAGCGCGCGCAGGCGGCUUCUUAAGUCCAUCUUAAAAGUGCGGGGCUUAACCCCGUGAUGGGAUGGAAACUGGGAGGCUGGAGUAUCGGAGAGGAAAGUGGAAUUCCUAGUGUAGCGGUGAAAUGCGUAGAGAUUAGGAAGAACACCGGUGGCGAAGGCGACUUUCUGGACGACAACUGACGCUGAGGCGCGAAAGCGUGGGGAGCAAACAGGAUUAGAUACCCUGGUAGUCCACGCCGUAAACG
rnacentral:rRNA from 1 species